AAGUUAUUGAAAAGUCUGACAACAACACUGGAAGCAAUGAUGAAGAUGAUAAUGGAAGCAUUGGUUUAAAUGUUGGGGAUGGAAGUGACAAUGGAAGUGGCACCCAGAGCUCAUGGACAAAACAAGCUGUAGAGAUUGACAGUCCCCAGUCAGUCUCUCCUUGGGAUCAAGUUGCUGAAUGUCCUGACAGCACUUGUGCUCAAGUUGUCCACUCAAACGCUGAAAUAUCGGGUGACAAUCAGGCUCCUGUAAUCACUAUAAAGAAGUGCAAAGAACAGGAGGAACAACUUGAGAAUACAACUGGUAAAGACCCAGAGAAAGUUGUGCCAGGAAAUCUACAUUUACAGCUUGAAUACCAAGUUGAGAAUCCAAUUAAACUUGUUGGUAUGAAACAGAAGAAUAUGCUCGAGAGGGGAUCUGGUAAACUCAAGGUGCAAAUUGAUAAAGGACAGCUAGAUCUCAACAGUGAGAGUCCAUCAAGCAAAUUGAAGUAUGAAACUGUAAGUCUGACAGGUUUCACCAGGAACACUAUUGAUCCCCAUAUGGAUAGCACAGAGUAUGAGCCUUCAAAUAGGCAUUCCAAGAUCUCAGAUACAAAAAAUAAGGCCUCUAAUGAUGCUAAAGACACACCACCCCUUGAACUUAGUUUAAAAAGACUUAGAGGGGUUAAGGAUGUUGGAACAGCAGUUCUGGAAGACCGCAAUGUCGUAAGACGUUCAGACUCUUCAGCUUUUUCUAGGUAUAAUACAGCCUCAAAUUCAAUUAAGGCUCCUGGUGCGAACAUUAAAAGUGAUUCCCCACAUGAUUCUAGUUUAGAUGUUACCAAAAAAGGAUCAGUUUGUGAUAUGCAAUCUCAUUCAAAUGGUGAUCGUCCUAAUCAGUGCUUAAAUGUUGGUAGCAAUAACAUUGAUAUCGGUUCCACUACAAACCACACUUUUACCAAGUCAGUGGCCUUGAAAAAUAAGUCAGCGGUAUCAUCCACGAUGAAAUAUUUGCACCCGCCUUCUAGUUUCCAGCCUAUGAAAGGUGACCCACCAUGUGCCUCUCGGCAGAUUUCAUCAGAGAAAGCUGAUGAGAUAG
rnacentral:misc_RNA from 1 species